rnacentral:rRNA from 1 species
GACGAACGCUGGCGGCGUGCUUAACACAUGCAAGUCGAACGGAAAGGCCCUGCUUUUGUGGGGUGCUCGAGUGGCGAACGGGUGAGUAACACGUGAGUAACCUGCCCUUGACUUUGGGAUAACUUCAGGAAACUGGGGCUAAUACCGGAUAGGAGCUCCUGCUGCAUGGUGGGGGUUGGAAAGUUUCGGCGGUUGGGGAUGGACUCGCGGCUUAUCAGCUUGUUGGUGGGGUAGUGGCUUACCAAGGCUUUGACGGGUAGCCGGCCUGAGAGGGUGACCGGCCACAUUGGGACUGAGAUACGGCCCAGACUCCUACGGGAGGCAGCAGUGGGGAAUAUUGCACAAUGGGCGGAAGCCUGAUGCAGCAACGCCGCGUGCGGGAUGACGGCCUUCGGGUUGUAAACCGCUUUCGCCUGUGACGAAGCGUGAAUGACGGUAAUGGGUAAAGAAGCACCGGCUAACUACGUGCCAGCAGCCGCGGUGAUACGUAGGGUGCGAGCGUUGUCCGGAUUUAUUGGGCGUAAAGGGCUCGUAGGUGGUUGAUCGCGUCGGAAGUGUAAUCUUGGGGCUUAACCCUGAGCGUGCUUUCGAUACGGGUUGACUUGAGGAAGGUAGGGGAGAAUGGAAUUCCUGGUGGAGCGGUGGAAUGCGCAGAUAUCAGGAGGAACACCAGUGGCGAAGGCGGUUCUCUGGGCCUUUCCUGACGCUGAGGAGCGAAAGCGUGGGGAGCGAACAGGCUUAGAUACCCUGGUAGUCCACGCUGUAAACGGUGGGUACUAGGUGUGGGGUCCAUUCCACGGGUUCCGUGCCGUAGCUAACGCUUUAAGUACCCCGCCUGGGGAGUACGGCCGCAAGGCUAAAACUCAAAGGAAUUGACGGGGCCCCGCACAAGCGGCGGAGCAUGCGGAUUAAUUCGAUGCAACGCGUAGAACCUUACCUGGGUUUGACAUGGAUCGGGAGCGCUCAGAGAUGGGUGUGCCUCUUUUGGGGUCGGUUCACAGGUGGUGCAUGGCUGUCGUCAGCUCGUGUCGUGAGAUGUUGGGUUAAGUCCCGCGACGAGCGCAACCCUUGUUCACUGUUGCCAGCACGUUAUGGUGGGGACUCAGUGGAGACCGCCGGGGUCAACUCGGAGGAAGGUGGGGAUGACGUCAAGUCAUCAUGCCCCUUAUGUCCAGGGCUUCACGCAUGCUACAAUGGCUGGUACAGAGAGUGGCGAGCCUGUGAGGGUGAGCGAAUCUCGGAAAGCCGGUCUCAGUUCGGAUUGGGGUCUGCAACUCGACCUCAUGAAGUCGGAGUCGCUAGUAAUCGCAGAUCAGCAACGCUGCGGUGAAUACGUUCCCGGGGCU